rfam:Pan troglodytes isolate Yerkes chimp pedigree #C0471 (Clint) chromosome X, whole genome shotgun sequence.
GUGCUUACUUCAGCAGCACAUAUACUAAAAUUGGAAAGAUACAGAGAAGAUACACGGCAGCUGUGCAAGGAUAACACGCAAAUUUGUGAAGCGUUCUAUAUUUUU